rnacentral:rRNA from 1 species
AGCGAACGCUGGCGGCAGGCCUAACACAUGCAAGUCGAACGAACCCUUCGGGGUUAGUGGCGGACGGGUGAGUAACACGUGGGAACGUGCCUUUAGGUUCGGAAUAACUCAGGGAAACUUGUGCUAAUACCGAAUGUGCCCUUCGGGGGAAAGAUUUAUCGCCUUUACAGCGGCCCGCGUCUGAUUAGCUAGUUGGUGAGGUAAAGGCUCACCAAGGCUACGAUCAGUAGCUGGUCUGAGAGGAUGACCAGCCACAUUGGGACUGAGACACGGCCCAAACUCCUACGGGAGGCAGCAGUGGGGAAUCUUGCGCAAUGGGCGAAAGCCUGACGCAGCCAUGCCGCGUGGAUGAUGAAGGUCUUAGGAUUGUAAAAUCCUUUCACCGGUGAAGAUAAUGACUGUAGCCGGAGAAGAAGCCCCGGCUAACUUCGUGCCAGCAGCCGCGGUAAAAC